CCCUUAGAUGUUCUGGGCCGCACGCGCGCUACACUGACGAAUGCAACGAGCUUAUAACCUUGGCCGAAAGGUCUGGGUAAUCUCCAAAUUUCGUCGUGAUGGGGAUAGAUUAUUGCAAUUAUUAAUCUUCAACGAGGAAUGCCUAGUAAGCGCAAGUCAUCAGCUUGCGUUGAUUACGUCCCUGCCCUUUGUACACACCGCCCGUCGCUCCUACCGAUUGAAUGGUUCGGUGAAGCGCUCGGACCGCGGCCUCUUGACGGUUUUCCGUCGAUUGGCUGUGGGAAGUUCGUUAAACCUUAUCAUUUAGAGGAAGGAGAAGUCGUAACA
rnacentral:rRNA from 1 species